CUAGCUUGCGCUGUCCCUGCCUAAUAGAGGCUUGAAACACACGCUUUCUUCAUGCGUACCUAACGUUCAGGUGUCUGCCACCCACCUACCUCUUAUUCGACUUGAGGACCUCGCCGUGUACCAUAAAGGAAUUUGGCCGCGUUCGUCGCGAAGCUCCCGUCUCAACAACAGGAGGCGAAAACUUCCGCAACGGGCGGCGCGUGUCGUCAUUUCCGCCACGCGCGCGCCCGUUACCGCGCGCGUGCGCCAGAGGGCGCGCGCUCUCGUCGCUUUGUCGCGCCGCAGGUGACUUUUCUGCGGUUCUCUCCGCGCCCGGACCGCGGAGUCGGGGGGUGAGGAAUAAAAUCGGGCCGAGAGGAAUAAAACGUACGACUGGCUACGGCCGAAUUCAGCUUCUUGCGGUGUCGAACCCCGUUGUUUCGCCCUUCGUGCGCGCGCUCGACCCCCUGCUGCGGCGCCUUUCCGGAACAUUCCACGGGAUUCAUUAAUUUAAAGCUCAGCAGCAUUCCCGCUGUUUCCAAAAUUAAUUCUCAGUUCAAAGCACAAACUGAUUAAGCUCGAGUAUGUUGGAUAUAACAAUGUUGUUGCCAUCACUUCCAGACCCCUGACUAACAUGAACGAAGACCAGAAAUCACACAUGCUCGAAAACUAUGAAUCCGUUGGACUAAUGAAGUUACUCCACAAACAGAAGCAAGAUCUCAAGCAAGACUAUCAGGUAUGUGGUAAUAUCAUAUUUACAUUCAUGGCAUUUAUCACACAUUUAUUACAAUCUGUAGUUACAGGGACAUUCCCUCUGGAGACACUCAGUGUUAAGUGUCAGGUACGCAAAGUGGGGUUUGAAACUGGGUCUUCUGGUUGAUACUCAAUGAUCGUAAUAAUGCUUUGGGCAGUGGUGGCCUAGUGGGUAUGGAAGCAGAUCCGUAAUCGGAAGGUUGACGGUUCAAAUCAUGAACUGAGGUGCCACUGAGCAAGGCCCCCACACACUGCUCCCCAGGCGCCUGUCAUGGCUGCUUACUGCUCACUAAGGUGAUGGGUUUAAAUGACGCGUGCUGUGCUAAAGUGUACCACAAUCACUUCACUUUCACAUUGACCGCUCUUCACACGUUCUUCAUCUUUUUUAAGGUGCUGGUGGACAAAACUGAGUUCAUGCAACACACUUUAAAACUUGUGAAUUGUCACAUUUUGCCAACAACCAAAAAAAUUGUUUAGAGGAAUUGUACAUGCUUAU
ensembl:lncRNA